rnacentral:rRNA from 1 species
UCGCCGAAGGAUCGGCCCGCGUCUGAUUAGCUUGUUGGUGAGGUAAUGGCUCACCAAGGCGACGAUCAGUAGCUGGUCUGAGAGGAUGAUCAGCCACACUGGGACUGAGACACGGCCCAG